CCUUCCAUCCAUUUAUCCAACCAUCCAACUACCAUUGGCCCACCCACCCUUCCAUCCAUUUAUCCAACUAUCCAACUACCAUUGGCAUCCACCCACCCAUUCAUUUAUUCUUUGUUUCUUUCUGCUUGCCUGUUUGCCUUCCUUCCUUCCUAACCUCCCUCCUUCCUCCCUGCUUUUCACCCACCCAGCCAUCCAUCAAUCCAGCCAUCCACCCAGCCAUCCAAUUAUUUGUUUUAUGCUUACUUCCCGUGUGCAUUUUACCUGUUCUGUGAUGAACAUGUCGGCCCUCUAAACUUCCUGUGGGAUCUGGAACCCCCAAUCCCAUCCCCCUCACCUUCUGGGGCACCUGAGGCCCUGAUCACAUCCCCACCCCCAUGUCCUGGGCGGCCUCAGGGACCUGACUAUGUGCCCUGCGGUGUCUCCCACCUCCUGGGGGAUCUGGAACUUUCGGACCACGCCCAGCUCGUAGUACAUCUGGAUGCCACAUUUGACCAGGUCCAGUUCGGUGCACUCCAUCAGCAGGCUCCUUCCCCAGGCGCACUCUGGUUGGCUACACAGAGACACAGAUGUGUCACGAGAAAGAGCUUCGCAUGUGGGACAAGGUGACGGCGGUGCGUGCACCCCGUGUGAUCUGGAGGAAGGUGCUGUCAAGAGCUCGUGCUUUCACCCUGGGAAGGCCCUGGCAGCCUCUGAUCUGGAGACAAAUGACCGUGUGCACGGCCUGCUGACUUUCCCACCUGUCCUCUCUCGGGCACUGCCUUACGCAGUCCUCAGCACGGACAGAUACCUGAAAUUUGAACAUUUCGUCAGCGGAAGCAUUCAUGAUGUUACAAAUCUGAAAAAGCACCAGAAAAACGAUUUCAUCCAAAGCAGCGGAAGGUCUGUUAUGAUCUAAAAUGGCCUCUGUGGCCCUGAGCUGCCGUGCUGGGGCCCCUCCCUCUUGGGAACCCCUCCCUCUCCGGAGGCCGUAUGGCUUCAGCCUGCUUUCUAGGACUCAGCGUUGGUGCCUGCCCUGCCACCCUGACCCUGACUUGUGCUCAAGCCUGGCACCGCCGCCUGGACAGCUUGCCUGGUCCCCUGGAUGUCCACUCCGGAUGUCCACAGUGACUCACUCUCCUCAGCGGCCCACGUCCUCCUCACCAUCUCCCAGAACGAGGCCCACGGAGUACCGCUCGCAGUUGAGGUAGGCCCGCACCGUGUAGAAGGCCUUGUGGAACUGCCUCUCAAUGUCCGUCAGCUCCUCAAACACCUUGUUGGCCGACCACAGCAGCACCUGGAGGGAGGGGCACACCUGUGGGCCUUCGGCCACUCCCACCCUCACGCCUGUCUGACUACAGCAGCAGGGGUUUAACUCAAGCCUGACACAGUUUCAUCUGAGCUUGUGGGGCCCGGGAGCCGGCUGGCGGUGAGGCCUCGAGGCUGCGGUCGUGUCCCUGAUCACUCAGGAGUGGACGAGUGGAAAGUGGAAUCCGUCGCUUUGAGCUUGACAGGCAAACAUCCGACCAGCCCUUCCUCCGCCCGGCUGCUCCAGAACCACCUGCGGCGAGCAGGGCUUUGAGAACAUCGGGCCGUGGUUUCCGGACGUCAGGCCCCCCGUGGCCUCCGCCAAGCGUCUGAGACUGAAGCAUUGCUGACGCACUCCACGAGGUCCUGGCCAGACCCCGCUCAGGACAUCCCACUGCACAGGCCCCUGGUUGUUGGGUCAGCGCUGCCGCCAGGCUCAGACUCACCCCAGGGCCCUCCUUGGGCCCCCUUUCUCUGCCUCCUUGGUCAAGGCCCAGACCCAGGCCCCCCCAGGCCCUGCCUCCUCACACUCACGGCGGCCGCUGGGUCUUCUACCGCAUGGUGCCAGCUCCCUCUCCUCCACUGCGGUGUCCUAGCCCAGCUCUCUCCCUGUCAGGCCCUCUGAAGUUCCACCCCCUGGCACUCAGCUCAUGGCGGGAACAGGACCAGGCUCUCCUGUUGCCAAGGGCAGUGAGAUGUUCGUAGCUUUAUUUCCCAGUACAUUGAUUUUACUGAUUUUAGUUUAUCUUCAGUUGAAUAAUUGUGUGUAUUGAUGGGGUUUAUGUUUUAUGGGGUUUGGUGUGAUGUUCUGAUGUACGUAUUUGUUGCAGAAAGAUUCAAUUAAGCUAAUCAACAUAUCCAUCACCUCACCAACUUGUUUUUUUGUGGUGAGAACAUUACAAAUCUAUUUUCUAGCAAUUUGGUAUACAAUACAGUCAUCCCUCGGCAUCCUCAGGGAAAUUGGUUCCAGGACGCCGCUCUGAUAACAAAAUCCGAGGAUGUUCAAGUCCCGGAUGUGAAAUGGCGUAGAGUUUGCACAGAGGUUGCACAUGCACCCCCAGGACUUCAAACCAUCUCCGAUGACUUAGCACCCAGUGCAAGGCAAGGCCAUGAAAACGGCUGUUCUACUGUAUUGUUUUACAUUCUUAUUUUUAAUUUAAAACUUUUCCCACAUCAUAAAUCCUCGGAAGCAGAA
rnacentral:lncRNA from 1 species